GACGAACGCUGGCGGUGUGCCUCAAACAUGCAAGUCGAGGGAGGGUUGGCGACUAGCUUGCUAGUUGUUCAACUCUACCGGCAAACGGGUGAGUAACACGUGGGUGACCUGCCCUCAGCUCUGGGAUAAGCCUGGGAAACCGGGUCUAAUACUGGAUAUGACUCCAUGACGCAUGUUGUGGGGUGGAAAGCCUUGUGCGGCUGAGGAUGGGGCCUGCGGCCUAUCAGCUUGUUGGUGGGGUGAUGGCCUACCAAGGCGA
rnacentral:rRNA from 1 species